AUGGAAAUGAUUUUUCUUUUUUUCCCCAUUUGGGAUGAUGUUGGCUGUGAGCUUGCUGUAUAUUGCCUUUUUUUUUAGGUUAAGCUAUGUCCCCUGUAUUCCUAGAUUCUUUGGGACUUUUCUCAUGAAAGUAUGUUGGAUUUUAUCAAAGGUUUUUCUCUGUCUAAAGAGAUAAUCAUUAGAUUUUCAUUACUCAGUCUAUCUGUGUAGUAGAUUAUACUUAUUUCUAUGUAUGAGGUAGAUUACAUUUAUUUAUGUAUGUAUAUUGAACAAUCUCUGUAUCCCUGGGGUGAAACUGACUUCAUUAUAAUGGGUAAUCUUUAUGAUGUGUUCUUGAAUUCAGUUUGCAAAUUGAAAUGUAAACUUAAGGGUUUUUUGGAAAGUCAGUUGUGUUGGAUGGUAUUUUCUUGGAGCAAACACUUGAAGGAGUAUUUUACUGAAGCAGACACAGAUGAAAGGAUGUUUUGCUAAAUCAAGCAUGUGGGACAUGUGAAGGAUUCAUCACUAAUGAGAUGCCUAUAUUGAUCUGACUUACACUGCACAGCUGAGCUCUGUUUGUUGUGACUUCAUAGAAUUGCAUCAAAAAAACUAAACAAAACAAAACAAAAAAAAAAACUUUAGGCUGAUUGGCAAAGUGAUGUCAGCUGAUACAGAUUCAAGUGAAGUUUUGCUAAGUCAGAUUCACAUGCUCAGGCAAGAUGUGGUGAGGCAAGCAAGACCCAUGAAGGACAUGUAAUACUUGGAGGGAAUGUAAGUAGGACUCAACAGGCUGUGAGAGAGGCUUGGGUAGGCUUGGCUUGCUUGCUAGUAGAGCUAGCUGUACAAAUCAUCUUCACAUCUUCACUGAGAGAGGCACAGCCAAGAACUUCUGGCAUUCCCCUUGGCCUUGAUUCUUCCUGCGGAAUCGUGGCGAUUAGGCUGAGGCCUGGCUGUCUCUGCUAGGUCAUGCUACCACUGAUGAUUCAAGUUUGCUAUUCUGACUCUAUUGAACUAGCUGGUUUGUUGGUAUAUUCAUGAAGGAUUUGCAAGUGGAUUGAGCUGCCAUUGCUGAGCUGAACUGAACUGCUGAUCUCCUGACAAUGCAGAUGGGAUUUGCUCCAAAGAACCAUUUCUAAACAGGUGCACCCCCUCCCCACCUCCAUCCAACCCUCUGUAUCCUUUCUUUUCCUCGACCUCUGGUGGGUGGAGGUGGAGGACUACAAAGAAAGUUAAAGGGUUUAAGAACCAACAUUAAAAGUAGGCCCUGAAAAAAAUUAACAUUAUUCUAAGGGGUUUUAUUGAGAGUUUUUCCAUUCAUUCAUAUUUAUCAAAGAGAUUGAACUAUGAUUCUCUUUUGUGUAUAAGGAGGUCUUUCUCUGAUUUUGGUAUAAGGGUGAUACUGGCAUUGUAAAAAUGAUGAAAUGUCCUUUAAUUUCCUAUUUUGUGGAAUAAUUUGAGGCGUAUUUGUAUGAGUUCUUUUGAAGGUGUUAGAAAUCUGUGGCGAAUCCAUCCAUCUGGUACUAUGCUGUUUUGAAUUGGAGGAUUUUAAUUACUGGAUCUUUCUCGUUGGAUGUUAUAGUUCUAUUUAAAUUAUUUAUUUCAUCUUGAUAUAGAUUUAGCUUUUAUAGGUGAUAUGUAUCUAGAAAUUAAUUUAUGUCUUUCAGAUUUUCUAUUAUGUUAGAAUAUAGAUAUUUUUAAAAAUAUUGUCAUGAUUCUCUGAAUUUCCUUUUUAUAUAACUUUCUGUAUAUUAUAAUGACUAUUAAUUUGAAUCCUUCUUUUCAUUGAUUUGUCUAAAGGUUUGUCAAUCUUUUCAAAGAACCAACACCUUAUUAAAUUGAUUCUUUGUUUUGUUUUGUUUUCUAUUUCAUUCAUUUUCAGAGCUGAUUUGAUUGUCUCUGCCCAUCUACUUUGUUUUUUUUUUUCCCAAGGACUUUGUGUGUAUUAUUAAUUUGAGAUGCCUUGCUUGCUUGCUUGCUUGCUUGGUUACUUGCUUCCUUUCUUUCUUCUUUCUCCCCCCACCCUCUUCCUCUUUCUCUUUCUUUUUCUUCCUUCCUUCCUUCCUUCCUUCCUUCCUUCCUUCCUUCCUUUUAGCUGUAGUGUUAUGGAAUUUUUUCUUAGGACUUACUGUCUUCAUUGUGUCCCAUAGAUUUUGGGAUGUUAUGUUUUCAUUCAGUAGUUUUAGGAAUUAAUAAAAUUCUUAAUUUCUUUCUUUCUUCAUUCAGUUAACACUCAGUGAGAUUUUAUUUAUUGUCUACAAGCUUGUGAACUGUCUGUGGUUUCUGUGAUUGAUACAUAGCUUUAUACCAUUGUGGCAAGAUAGGAAAUGGGGUGUAAUUUGAAGUUUGCUGCAUAUUUUAGACCUUUUUUUGUAUCAUAAUAAGUAGUUGAUUUUGGAGAAUGUUUCACUGGCUCCUGAGAAAUUAUUCUUGUGAUAAUUAGCUUAAAAUCGCAUGUAAAACAAAGCAUACCUGAAUCUCUUUGAUACAGAUUAUGUGUGAUUACAUCAAAACACUUUAUAAAGUAUAUAUGACACUCUCCAUAAAGAUAAAUUUUGUAGAUUGGUAGAAAUGUCCGUGAGCUACACAUAUUGAAACAAAGGUCACCAGGCUAGAGAGCACCUCCAGUCCAGCCUUCUCAGUAGAAAGGGGGCUUUGCAUUCUUUCUCUGAAAGAACAUCCCUGUGUGCUUGAUAUUCUGGGUUCCCAGAGUACAUAUGUGUAAGCACAAAGAUACCUCUGUAUUUAAUGCAUAGUUUUGUUAGGUCUAGUAAUCUUGUUUGAAACAUGGGAUUGUUCAGGACUUGGAAUACAUGCAGGCUCUUCUGGCUUUAAUAUGUUCUAUUCUAAUGUAUGUGCCUUUAUCUCUCUCAUAGAGCUUUCAGUGCUCUAUGAGAGCUCUUUAGUCUGUGUUCUUAAUAUUUGAACCAUAAAAUAUGAAUUACUUUCUUCUCUGGACUUGUCUAUUUGGUAUUCUGUACGCCUGUUUUGUACCUAGAUGAGCAUAAUUUUAGGUUUGGGAAAUAGUCUUGUAUGGAUUUACUGAAGAUAUUCUAUGCAUUUGCUGUAGCAUUCUGUAUUUCUUUUUAUGCCUUUAAUUCAGGAAGUUGAGGUUUGGUUUUUGUUGGUUUCUUUCUUUCUUUUUUUUUUUUUCCUUUUAUCCCCAGUUUAUAGAAUUUUGGCCUUCUGAUAGUUUUGGUUGACUCUCUGUAUUCUUUUGGUAUGUGUUUCAUCACUUUUGGCCUUGGUCUAUACUGGUUUUUGCCAUGUGCUCAAUUUUAUUUUGGCUUUUUACAUUGUAGAGCUUUGGGAUACAUUAUUAGGUUAUUUAUUAGUGUGAACACUUUCAGCCAUAACCUUUCCUCUAAGGAUUGCUUAGGUAUGUCCCAGAGGUUCUGAAAAGUGUUGUUUUCAUUUUCAUUAUGUUUCCAUUUGUUAAGACCUCCAAGGUUUCUUCAGUUUAAAAGUGUGCUGUUCAGUCUCCAAGUAUGUUUUCUGAGGUUAUCAUUGUUUUUGAUUUCUAGUUUGAUUGUACUGGGGUCUGACAGAUGCAGGAAUCGUUUGCUUUUCCUUUCCUCUUCCUUGCAUCCUUCCUUUUGCUUUGUGUUCUACAAUGUGUUCAAAAAAGUGUCAUGUGCCACUGAUGAAACUGCAUUAUUUAUCUGUUAGGUGCAAUGUUUGUAGCUCUACCAAGUAAGUUUAGUUCACCUGUGGUAUGACUUAACCCUAAGGUUUCUUUGUUGAAUUUUUUUUGACUGUUGUUUUUGGUGGGUAUUUGGGGUUUUUUGUUUUCUUGAGACUGGUUUUCUCUGUUUAACUUUGGCUGUCCUGGAACUCACUGUAGAGUAGGGUAGAUCUCAAACUCCCAGAGAUCUAGCUGCCUCUACCUCCUGAGUGCUGGGAACUAAAGGUGUGUACCACCACGGAUGGUCUUUGCUGAAUUUGAUUUGGAGGACACAUCUACCUAGUGUGAAAGUGAGGUCCUAUCUCCAGGCCUCUGCAGUGAUGUGUACCGUUUAAUGUCAGGACUCAGAAAAUAUGUGGACCCAAUAAAGCCUCAGUGUGUCUUUUGAGC
rnacentral:lncRNA from 1 species